GCUGCUUCGAUAGGCAGCAGCAGUCAUCCACAGUAUAAGGCCAUUCUCACAGAAAAGAUUUCUUUCUCUUGGCUAGUUAUGCUGAAUGGCCAUGUUGAUUCGAUUGGAGACCAGUGCAUGUUAACACAACAUUAUAUCGUCCGUGCAACCACAAAACAAAACAGAAUAAAAACCGCUGAAAACGGAGAGCGGAGGUUAUAGGACAGCUUAAGAACACUAAAGGGUUUUAAAUCUAUCUCCAUCCCCCUCUCUUUCCUUCUCUCAGCUGCCCAAACAACAAGGCCUGAAAAAGAUUGCAGUUCAUUUCAAAGCGCAGUGGAUGGAGGCCUCAUUUACGCGCUCCUGGCAACUCAAUCAGGCCAGCCAGCCCUGAUGAACUCUCUCUCUCUCAUGGCCGACUGGGCUGGAGUGUCCCCAGUGUCCUCUAUUACCCAGCGCCCCACUGAACAUGCUCUGCAGUCUGCUGACCUCCUGCCCUGCCUGUCACCCUGAUGGCUACUGUUAUCCCAGGCUACUUAUUUCACCAAAACGGCCUUUUGUUCCUCCUUGUAUUGAAAACAUCAAGCCAAGCCAAUUACAGGCAUAAACA